rnacentral:rRNA from 1 species
CGUACACUCCUACGGGAGGCAGCAGUGGGGAAUUUUGGACAAUGGGCGAAAGCCUGAUCCAGCCAUGCCGCGUGCAGGAUGAAGGCCUUCGGGUUGUAAACUGCUUUUGUACGGAACGAAACGGCCUUUUCUAAUAAAGAGGGCUAAUGACGGUACCGUAAGAAUAAGCACCGGCUAACUACGUGCCAGCAGCCGCGGUAAUACGUAGGGUGCAAGCGUUAAUCGGAAUUACUGGGCGUAAAGCGUGCGCAGGCGGUUACGUAAGACAGUUGUGAAAUCCCCGGGCUCAACCUGGGAACUGCAUCUGUGACUGCAUAGCUAGAGUACGGUAGAGGGGGAUGGAAUUCCGCGUGUAGCAGUGAAAUGCGUAGAUAUGCGGAGGAACACCGAUGGCGAAGGCAAUCCCCUGGACCUGUACUGACGCUCAUGCACGAAAGCGUGGGGAGCAAACAGGAUUAGAAACCCCAGUAGUCCCA